rnacentral:rRNA from 1 species
UACGGGGGGGGCAAGCGUUGUUGCGGAAUUACUGGGCGUAAAGGGUUUGUAGGUGGCCCGCCUAAGUCACACGUGAAAUCCCUCAGCUUAACUGGGGAACUGCGUGUGAGACUGGCAGGCUCGAGGCAGGAGAGGAACGCGGAAUUCCAGGUGUAGCGGUGAAAUGCGUAGAUAUCAGGAGGAACACCGGUGGCGAAGGCGGUUCUCUGGGCAUGUCCUGACGCUGAGGAGCGAAGUGUGGGAGCGAACAGG